rnacentral:rRNA from 1 species
AUUGAACGCUGGCGGCAGGCUUAACACAUGCAAGUCGAACGGGUGUAGCAAUACAUCAGUGGCAGACGGGUGAGUAACACGUGGGAACCUUCCUAGGGGUGCGGAACAACUCAGGGAAACUUGAGCUAAUACCGUAUACGUCCGUGAGGAGAAAGAUUUAUCGCCCUUAGACGGGCCCGCGUCGGAUUAGCUAGUUGGUGGGGUAACGGCCUACCAAGGCGACGAUCCGUAGCUGAUCUUAGAGGAUGCUCAGCCACACUGGGAGUGAGACACGGCCCGGACUCCUCCGGGAGGCAGCAGUGGGGAAUCUUGGACAAUUGGCGCAAGCCUGAUCCAGCCAUGCCGCGCGAGUGAAGAAGGUCUUCGGAUUGUAAAGCUCUUUUGCCAGGGACGAUAAUGACGGUACCUGGAGAAUAAGCCCCGGCAAACUUCGUGCCAGCCGCCGCAGUAA